GCGAAAUUUCUAGGCUUUAUAGUCAUAUAUUCGAACAUCUUUCACAAAUUUUUUGAAUACGAAAUCUUUGAUAUUCUGCCUUUAGGAAGCAAUUACCCGAUGCAUCUCGCAUAUACAUUUAUCAGGAACAAAAAAUUCAAAGAGAUUCAUGUUUUUUAAUAACUUAUCUUCUAGUUAAACUAAGAAAAUUCCAAAAAAAUUUACUUUAUUUUGUUUAAAAAUAUGUUCAAACUUGACUUUUCCUAGUUUUUUUUAGUUUAAAUAGAAGAUAAUUUUAUGCCAAAGAUAGUAAACUUUGCCCGCCAAUUAAAAUAAUCGUAAAAAUAAAAAACCGAGAAAUCGCGCUUUUCGCUUUUUUCCCAAGCGCUCAUAUAUGUUUCUGUUUGACGCCCGGAUACUAUUUCCCUUCUAGCUUCGACAAUAUUUAGAGUUCCAAUCUAUAACUUUGUUUGUUAGAUAAUUUUUAAAGAGAUUUAAGCGAUUGUUUGAAGCUUCUAAAGCAGGCUCUCCCCUUAAUAAAGAUUUCGUAUCUGAAUUUAUUGAUCUUAUAAAAAAUUAAUUCGCAAUUUGGCAAACGAAAAGUGAUAAAUAUAAAAAUAAUAUUGAGAAAAAUAAAAGUUGGAAUAACUUAUUAACGAAAUACAAAGAAAUAGAUAAAAGUGCUACAUUAGAAAUAAAUUCGAAGAAAUGUUCCGCUUGCCUGUCGCACAUGUUAACUGUGUGAAGAACGAACGCAAAAUGGAUUUGUGUGUCGUGUAUGGGCAAACGAAUUCACACAGAUCGAACGCACAUGUGUGCCCGUCUAUGUCCUCUUUAAGUGUGGAUAUGGAAAUUGGGAUACGUUUAAUAUGUAUAGGAAUGGAUAGGAAAGUGUGGAUAUGGAAAUUGGGAUACGUUUAAUAUGUAUAGGAAUGGAUAGGAAAGUGUGGAUAUGGAAAUUGAGAUAUGUUUAAUAUGUAUGUUUAUUAUUCUAUUAUUAUAGUGUGUUUACAAUGUGUUUAUUUGGGUACGGAAUGUAACUCGGGCGGCGGAGCAGAUGUGCGCGGACGCACGAACCGGAGGACGCGGAUGGGAGCGGGGGCGGACGCACAGCUGGAAAUCAAAUCUUCGUGAUAACCCCAAUCAUAUCGGUAGUUGGUUGUCAUUUAUGUUUAAUAAAAAAAAAAUAAGGAUUUAUUGCACAAUUGGGUAAAUUUUUGUAAAGGCUUUAUUUCGCUUUCGAAGUGUAAUAAAGCCUUUUUUGAAAUAAAGGCUUUAUUUCACAAGGCGCUAUUGCACCCCGCCGGUGUGAACAUGUAUGGUUCUAAAGCAUAGCCAGAGUCCCCCAAUAACCACUAGUUGUGAUCACCGGAUAAACCAAAAAUAAAAGAAUCAUGACUUGACCGCGGGUGAUACGCAUCUACAGCAUUUAUUAAACAUCCCAAUAUUAGUUGUAUGUUACAUACAUAUGUACAUUAAUAUUAAUAUUAAGAGCUCAUCUUUUGAGUGACUUUUAUUUACACAUUUUCGAAAGUUUUGAGCCUGUUUUUCAGUUGAAAAAAAAGGUUGCCUCAGAAUGGCACACCCUAAUGUACAUAUAAUUUGCUAUCAUUGUAUUGAUACUCAAACAGCCUUUUCUAUUAGUGUACAAAUGUUCAUAAUCACGAGGUUGUGUGCGUUCCGUCGCCGUAACCAAUAACCCCAGGAAUCCCAAAUUUGUUAUAAAAAUGUUGUUUGUACUCAUUUUGAGACCUUCGGAACCUCUCCAAAGUUUUGAACACUUUUUCAAAAUUUUCGUCACAGUGUUUCCGUCAAGCUCGGUCUUUUCCGAAGGAUCUCUGAAAUUCCCCUUCCACCACAAAUCUUAACGUGGGUGCUAAUUUUAGCUCAACGGCUAUGGUCCUAUAGUACAAAAUGAAUCUGUAAAUAAUCUUUACUUUUCAAUCAUUCUAUCUAUUAAAUCAUCCGCAUCAAAGUUCGUUGCGUAGUUUGAAAGAUUUAAGCAUACAUAGGGAUAUAGGGACAGGGAAAGCGGCUUUGUUUUAUACUAUGUAGUGAUAUGAAAAAUAUAAAUAUUGUGAGUCGGCAUGCCCAACGUUGCCGCUUUUCAUUUCUGAAGUGAGCAUCAGAAAACUCUUCAAUGUUUGAUAUUUAUCAUAGUUGUGAGGAACCAGCUUAUGGACAACACGCAACAAAUUUUUUGUCAAAUUUCUUUGAUUUUUUACAAAUGGUAUAUGAGGGACAUACGUAUCCAUAUGUGUUAAUAUGUUUUUGUAUGUGCGUGAAUGAGAGGGUAGUUCGAGAAUAUUCACACAGAAACUGUUCAUUUGAAACAAGGAAAUGACGAUACCUGUUUGAGCUGACACAUAAGACUCUUGUAUUCAUACAUCGCCUCUUCCAGCUCUCAAGUAAUGUAAAAACUUCAUAUAAAAAAACGCUUAAGAAACGGUCAAGAAAUUUUCCUGCGAUAAAUUUACCUAGCACAAGUCAAUUUAUCGCAGGAAAAAACAGGAUACAGCUCUCAAGAAAUCGAGUACUAAUUUUUAAUACUUUUUUUCAAUAAAAUGCGAAUAUGGCAAUCCUGAUUUUGCGAAGAAACAUCAAAUAAAUAAUUGUUUCUUGAAGGGAAGUGACAUUGGCGUACGAUUGAAGUGAAAUUUAUAAUUAUUUAUAUUGUUUGAAAAUUUAAACAAUGAUGGCUCAUUAAAACGCAAAAUUCGCAUGCUGAAUUUCACAACGUUAGAGAAGCGCCAACUUGUGAAUUGCGUGAAGGAAUGGCCCAAGAUCUGGGAUAUUAGCAACACAUUGCAUUGCAAUAAGAAUGCGGUAAAUCAAUCCUGGCUCCACAUAAGCGAUGCCCUUUAUAAAAGUGGUGAGUUAAUUUAUGUUUUGUAUUCAGUGUUUUGUUGUUUUUAAUAAAAUUUAUGUUUUAAUGGUUGAGUGCAAAUCAGCGUGGAUUAGUAUGCGCGAAAGCUAUCGCUACCAUGCUAGCGUAGCUCAUAAUAACAAAAGUGGCAGCGAUGGUGGGGAAGUUUUGGAAACUCCAUCCUUUUCAGAAAACGUUGAUGGGGAGUUUGCGGAGGAAAUGUCAUUUUUGAUGAAUGUAGCCCAAAAACGGAAUAUCUUUCGGAGAAGAUUCGCAUGCAUCGCCAAUGUGUCACUAACAAGUGCAAUCGAUUCACAGCACUCAUGCGAAUAUGUUAGUACAUAUAUAUGUACAUGUACAUAUGAUACUUGUAUAUGAAAACCCAACACCCACGAAACGAGAGCGGCGAUUAACCUCUCCCCGCAAAAAUCAAGCGUGGAGUCGGUUAGAUAACAUACUCAAGAAACAAGAGGAAAUGUUGGAAAGUCGCUCAAAUACCACACGCAGCUCCCCCCUUACGCACAAGCUCUUUCUAGUUUUGAUUGGUUGUUAAAUCAACUGCCUCGAUCUGUUGGCGACGACAUGUGUCUUUCCAUAAAUCUAAUGCUACUGAAAAAGGUUGAAGAGCAUAAAAAUAAAAACAGAACCAACGAUGAAUAACAUUUUUAUGUAACCAUUUAUAUUAAUAAUAAAAAGUUUAUAAUGAAAUGAAAACUAAAAGCCUAUAGUCUUGAUGUUUUUUAUUUAUAUAAUGAAAUGAAAACUAAAAGCCUAUAGUCUUGAAUAUAAACUUAAACAAAAGUUGCGUUGUUUUGCCAAGGAAGAGAUCCUUUAGGAGAAUUAACAUUGUCUGUUAACAUUUUCCGAAUAUAUUUGCCGUAAUCUGAAGCGGUAAGUGGUUACGAUGGAUUCAUUUCGAGUGUGUUCUUGUUGUAGUAACACUUCCUAUUCUUUUGCUAUCCAAUUUCUAAUGCUAUUUUCCAAGCCAGAAAACACAUUCGAAUUAUAGGUUCGGCGACACUUAUUUGUAAGGAAAUUAUGCAAUAGGCAACAUGCCGAAACAAUAACUUGCGCUCGUUCAGACUUGCAAAAUAAAAGUUUUCUAAGGCAAAGCCAUCUUGCAGACAAAAUGCGGAAAGCAUUUUCAAUGCACCGCCUAGCUCUACCUAUCCUGUAGUUAAAAAUCCUUUGCUCUACCAAGAGUUGUGUGGCGCUAUAAGGUUUAAUUAAGCGCUUACAUAAAGGAAAGGCAGCAACACAAUUGCACGAAACCCCUAUAAAUUAAAAAGUUUAAAACUCGUAUUACUUUUUAGUACAACCCAGGCAUAUAAUGUGAUCUUACUUUGUAGUUAUAAAAUAUAUUUCCACUUUUUGGAGGUGCUUUUAUAUUAAUAGGGGUAUUCUCUCGCUCUUGCAAGAUUGCAGAUUGCAAAAAUACUACACCGAAAUAUACAAGGGCACGAGAGCACCCAUUGCAGAAUCUAGUGAUAUAUGAGCAACUGAUUCAGUCAAUUUAUUGUAAAUGACUAUUGUGCAUGGCUAUUGUGAAUUGGCGCACCUUCUGCAUACAUUUUUAACAAAAAAAAACUGUAACAAAACUUUAUAAUUUAUAUAGAAAUUAUAAAAUAUAAUUAAAAUUUAUGUCUUUAUGUAAAAUGGCAAAAACAACAGGGUUGCAAUUUUAUUUUUGCGUGACAUUGUACGCUAAUAUACAUGGGUUUUGGUCUGACAUAUUUCACAGUCCUUGCAAAUAUUUUUCUGCGUGUGUUUGUUGUUGUGCCGUUGUAAAUCUGCAAUGCUUGCACCGUGCACCGGGCUUUGCAAGAGCAAGAGAAUACCCCUAAUGU